GCCACCGAUAAAAUUUCUGUCACGUUAUUAACUUGUGUUUCAUUAAAUAAAAGGAAUAUUCAUACGAUAAAGGGAAAAAAUGUAAGGUGCUGGAUUCAGAAGUGGCAACAUCACACUAGUUAUCAAGAGUAGAACACAUCAAUGAUCAGGAAGGAAGCUGAAGAGUAAUAUACAAAGGUCACUGAACGAUAUACUCUCAAGCCAGCGACGCCCGCAGGCUAUAUACAAAGGGAGAACAAGCUAUGAAAAAAGGGCAUCGUAUAUUAUUCAAACUUUGAUUCAACGUCGGAUUAGCACUCCCACAAGAUGGCAUUGGUUGCACUCGGGGCUAACUAGCCUCAAAAAACAAGAAACUUGGUUUUGCUCAGCUAGAAUAUACUAGAGUGGCAACGACGGGUACUAUCAACCUCCAUGUUGAGUCAAAAUAUCGAAGUCUGUACCACGUGUUGGCCAAAGCCCAGGACUUUGUUUAUCUUGAGACACAUCGAGCACCAGCAACAAAAGAAGAAGAGCAUUACUUUCUGUAAGAAAGUGUUGCUGAUUAAAAAUGGACAUAUACCAUUUUCAAAAACAACAGCUUGUUUGAUCGUUUAAAGUUAAGAAAUUGGAUAAAGCAAUGGAAUACAUGAGAAUAGAAUGGAAUAAAGCUAAGAUUACAGGUAAAGCAAUAGGAGAAAACUCAAAAUAUGUAAAGAAACUUGAAUACAUGAAUAGUUUGAAAGAGUUGUUGUUAAUACUAGAAGAUUUCAUGGCAUAGAGAUGACUUUUGAAUAGAAAAAAACUAGAAACUGUCUAAUGUUUUCUCCUAAUAUUAGAAUUAAAAAAUAUUUAAAUUAUUGACAUAAAACAUUCAAUUACAAGCAGACCUCUUA